ACUGCCUAUAAAACACAAACCAAAGCAAAAAAAGGCAUGAGGCUGCAGUGAGUUUGGAACACACAGAAGCCUAAUUCCAGCAGAUACACUUUCAGAAGGGUCCCCAGACGAUGCUUAUGAAGGGGAAUUAAAUGCUUUAGAUCAUGAGUAUGUGAAUAACCAAAUACCACCAAGUAAAUCAGUCUGUCCUCCUUUGCAAGGACACCUCACCUCUCUUCAGGAAGGAUGCUGAAAGGUUUAUCAUCUCCAAGUGUUGACACCUGCAACUUUAAAUCUCAAUGGAACAGAAAUUGCAAAAAAAAAAAUUUUGACAGAUUAUUCCAGAGAGUGUCAGUUUUAUAUCUAAAGCUGAUUAAGAACAAAAGAUCUUAGAUAACAUGUAAUUAGACAUUUAUGGAAGCUUCAGCUAUUAAAGAUUAAACAAACAAAACAUAAAUACCCUCCUGGCACUGUAGUGCCUUACCUUUUCAAAGUUAGAACAUAGAAAGCUUUACUUAAACACAGACUUCAAAAAAACCCCUACAUUUCUAAACAAAUGUGACACCAAAUACCUGUUUAAACAAAUACAUCUCCUUUCCCAAAGGAAACAAAGUUUAUUUAGCCAUUAUCCUUUUAUUUAUUUAUCCAUACAUUUUGUGUUUGAAAGUCCAUUAAGAAAUGCUCAUUUUUCACAAAGAGAAUUUAAUGCAAAACAUAAUUAAAACAUUACUCGAGCUCUUCUGCUUGUUUAUGUCAUGCAUGAAUUUUCCAUUUUUUUCUCCAAAGUAAUUCAUGUCUUUUACCUUCUAGAAUCAACAUUUAUCUCCAUAAACUGCAAAAGUGUGAUGCUGGCAGGCUGAUGUCACCUGGUAAUACUUUCCACUUCACCACAACUUAAGCCAAGUGGGAACUCAAGAUUACAAAGUGAGAUCCCAACAGCCCACGUUCCAAAGUGUUUCAAGCAGGAAAGCUGUGGCCAUCCUAAAAGAUCUUUAUUUCUGCCAUUUCCUGAGGCCAAGGUCUGCGCUCACAUCCAUGAUGUAUGUGACAGUACUGGAGGAUAGAGAGAUCUCCUUUUCUAGAUCUCCAAUCCAAAUUUACUCUUCCUGUGUUGAACUUGGUGAGUUUUGGGUUCGUUGUUUGGAGUUUUGAGUUUUUGGUAUGUAGAUAAAUGCCUAAAAUGCAGUUGAAGUCCAAGGCAAUUUGGCACCUGUUUUAUGAGCCCUUGGGGGAUCACCAAGAUCUUUAGCACACCCACCCAAGAAAUUGCUCCUGUCCCUUUUUAGCAUCCACACAGUUACAGUUGACUCAGUUAAGCUCUGAAUUGUGCCUUUCCAGCAGAAUUACAAGGGGGAAAAAACAAAGAUACCUUGUAUCCAAAGUCAGGCAGUGCAGAUGCAUCCCAGUGACUAGGACAGGUCUGAUUUGGAAUAGAAGAAUCCCUUUGGCUGCUUGCAAACAGACAGAAAAUGAAGUGUUAGUAAUUCUAGUACUGCUCCAAACACUCAAAUUUGGAUCAUCCACUUUGGCCAAUUCCUGCAUUUAAAAAUGAACAAAACACAACUACAGCCAGCACCCAUUUUGCCUUAUGAUUACUUUUAAAAUAUGAAAAAACAAACUAAGGAGCACUUACCCUGUCUUUAUCUUCUGCACAUCUUCAGAAGACACAAAUUUUGGUCGCCUGCAAACCUGUCUUCGAGUUUUAAAACUGAUGUUUGUCUGAGUCAUUUCUUGAGGAGAAAAAAGUGAAGAGAAAAAAAAGUCAUGAGUAAGUCUACAAGACAGGGUCAUCUUGUCCUCAUCAGUUCUUCUUUAAUGAAAACUGCAUAUUUUGCAUAUUCUUUAAUGAAAACUGCACAUUCACUGUCAAUUCCACCUGCUGAGGAGCAGUUGCACAAAGGCUUCUCUGUAACUCUGUGAUUGACCCUGUGCCUAUCCUGCUUGCACCCUCAAGCCACUCAAUGCUCUUUAAACAUUGCUACAGCAGCACAAAGAUGCCCAACUUGUAUUUUUUACCAUCCACAGUGUUACUUACUUUCCUUAAAGUUUACUAUGACUUUAUGUGAAGACUAUGAACCUUUAUAUUUCUGGUCAGAUUUCUGGUGAGUCUGGAGAGUGUCAAGGAACAAGGGGAGAAGGUUACUUUUGUGAGGAAUUUGCUCUGGGCCAGCACUACCUCACUUCCAGUAAGUGAAACCGGUGGUGUCAGGAAAGGAAGGGAGACUUUGCAAGAGUCUGUAAAGCACUGCAUAGUUGUAGAUGAGAAUCUCUAAAAUUACUACCUUUAAAAUUGAGUUCAUACUGAUGUUGGCCAGCUUGGAAAGGUACAAUGGCACAUGGAUCUGCUUGAUACAAAUUCUCAAUAAUAGCAGAAGAUGGUGAGGUCGUGCUGUUCCCUUCUUCCUUUGUGGGGAGAAAAGAAAUACAGAGAAUGAGCAGAAUCACACUCAGGACUAAACCCUGAAUAACUAGCUAGGGUAGAAGGAAAGAAGAGGCCAAGUGUAGGAUGACAAGGAAUCUACCCAGAACUGAGGCUGAGUACUGAAUAUUUGUAACAUAAACACAAAUACGCAAUUAGAAAUUUUAAAUUUUUGUAACAAGUUGUGCUGGUUCUGGCUGGGGUAGAGUUAAAUUUCUUCCCAGUAGCUGGUAGUGGCUGUGUUUUGGAUUUGUGCUGGAACAGUGCUGAUAGCACAGGGAUGUUUUAGUUAUUAUUUAGCUUAGGCAUGCACAGAGCCAAGGCCUUUUCUGCUCCUCUCCCACCCCACCAGUGCUGGGCCUGGGGGGCACAAGGCCUUGGGAGGAUACACAUCCAGGAGAGCUGACCCCAGCUGGCCACAGGGACAUCCCAGACCGUGAGGUGUCACUCCUGUGCACAAAGCUGGGGGAAGGAGGAAGGGAGAGACAUUUGGAUUGAUGGAGUUUGUUUUCCCAAGAGACUGUGACCUGUGAUGGAGCCCAGCUUUCUUGGGAUGGCUGAGCACCUGCCUGUCCAAGGGAAGAGGGGAAUGGAUGCCUUGUUUUGCCUUGCUUGUUCACACACUUUUGCUUUAUCUUUUAGUGUUUUUCUCAUCCCACCAGCUUUCUCUCUGCCCAGUGCCUCAGCAGGGAAGGGGGCAAGGCUGAGCUGCAACCGGCUGUGAUGGGUACACAACUCCUUAUCAAACCACAGUUAGUUUGGUUCAGGCUCCAAAGGAAGCAAAGACCUAGGCCAAGAACUUUUCUAGCUCCAACCUGCUAUCUGAAAACCCACAAAGGAACAGGGUGACAUGGUGAGAGCAUUGAUGCAUAUGAGCUUGGAAACAAACACUGAUGAUGUGAUUAAUGCAUGAAUAGCAGAUGGUUUUCCAAGACUAAUUUGCCAAGGAACAAAGUAAGUUGCAGGUGUAAGGAGUCUCACUCUUACCUUUUACUCUGCUUGUGAUUGAACUAUGAGCCAACCACUUCAUUCCACAGACAGGAAAGCCUGAGUGAGCUCCUUGCAAGCUGUCCCUGCUAAAGAGCAGCUGGACAGCUGUGAUCUCUCCUGGACCUGGGUGACUCCUGGAGGUUGAGUACUCUUUGGGGUUACUCUGAGUCUUUUAAACUGCACUCUAUCCAGCACCUUUCUCUGUGUACUUUUCCAAGUCCCUGGAUCACCUUUGUGUUCCACCAUUUGUGCUGCUAUACUGUAAACCAUAUGGUAUAAACUCAUCUGCCUUUGUUUUCCUGCAUUUUUCAGAUAGAUUACUUUCUCAUGAGGACUUGGACAUACAUGGAAAAAGACUGCAUUUGAUCUGAGAAAGCAGAGCAAUCCUUGCACGUCCAAGGGCAUUGCUUAGAAAAGAGGCAACUUCUUCCUAUGUCUAUUAAGAGCAGUGUCUAUAUGUUAAAUCUGUAGGAGCUAUGGACUACUCCAAAAGGGAGCUCUCUUUCCUCCAGCCUGUCAGCAUUUUAUCACAUCUGUAAUGAACAGGUGUAGCUUCACUGCCUUACCCAACGCUGUAAAAUUCAAGCAGAAGGACUCAACUAAUCCUGUUGAGAAAAGGGGAGAGGGUGCAGAGAGGCUCCACAUAUUCCUGAACAAGUGACUGAAAGCACAGGAUGUGAACUCACCUGCUCUCCAUAUUCAAUCCACUCGUUUUGGUUAUUCUUCCAGUACCAAAUCCACUGUGUGGUCAGCAGGAAUGUGGGUUUUGUGACUGAUGAUGGUGUAGAGAGGCGUCGAACCAAAGAAGAAGAGCAGGUCAUUGUCUGGAAAUUAAUGUUCUUACUUGGGAAGCUGUAAGGACAAAUUCAGGUUUAUUAUAGUUAGCAGUGCAUAUUUUAUCCUGUCAUCCCCAGUUUAGUGCCAUUUUCUUUAAUAUAAAGUAACCAAACUUAAUGAGAUCUGACAUAGGAGUAUUUAUUUCCCACAGCACAUGGCAGCUCUGAAAGCCAUCUCCAAGCUUCAGAAGUGAACUCUGGCCUGUGAGACACCAAAGGCCACCUCAGUCACAUGUGGCACUGCCAGCUUUACAAUGUCAGGCUCCAAGUACAGUGUGGCAAAAGGAACUUCUGUGAUAACCAAGCGUGGUUCCAGUCUUUCUCAGUACAUAAGCAGAAUGUGCAAAGUGUGUGACUGAAUUUGCCAGCAAUCACCUGCAGCCUAUCAACUUUGUUCUUUUUCUGUGGUUACCAAGGAUAAAUCACAGCAACCAGAGCUGUGAGUUCUGCAAACUGCAUUCAUCACUGGAGCCACCUGGGCUCUUACUCCUGCAAGGCUUGAAAAAUUAAUUCCCAGGCAGGAAGAUUUUGAUGGCAGCCUCCUCUUGGGAAUAUUGCUUGUGAUCUCCAGAAAACUGCCAAUCAAAAUCAUCUGGUGCCUUAAGAGGCACGGGCCAAAACUAGAAUACCAUUUUGUGAAGCCAAACUUGGGGUGCCCUAUGAAUCCAGGUCGCUUUGAGUGGGACUUUUCAAAAAGGAGCUAAAAGGAAAACACACUCUUAAAAUAGAAAUAAAAAAGAAGAAAAAAUAAAUGGGCUGCUUACACAAAGGACAUUUCAUAAAAUGUCUCUAGGUAUGUAAUAUAUCACUAUUAUUGUUAUUAUAGAUACUAGCUGUAGUAGGAAAGAAAUAGCUAUACAGAAGGACCAGCUCUGAAAUGUUGUCAAAAGGCCCAACUUCAUUACUGCAAAUAAACUGAUUAGUGAUCUGAAAUACUACAAUUUUAAACACUGGCUUUUUACUUUGUACAGAGUUUUACAUGCAAGAUAAAGUUUUGUUAUUUUUAGAAGACAAAACUGGAGUGGGAUUUUCAUGCAAUCAUUCUUUCUUUGCUUUUUUAAAAGGAAAAAUUCUUAUUUUUACAUGCUUCCAGCUUCUGAGAGGCUCAGUAACCAGAAGCUGAGAAGUCAGACACCUUUAGGAAGAAAACACAAGUUUUCCUACACAGGCUCAAUCACAAUACUCCAAUCAAGGAGUCCAGCAUUACUACACCUGCUGUUCUUUGGGUCACAAUAGGCCUUUUCAAUUUCCUCCAUCAUGGAAAGUGUAUUCCAGUUCAAUCCAUCGUGUAUCUCCCAUUUAUAUGGCAAAUGGUAAUGAACAGAUUUGCAUUUAUCUGUAACGAAAUCAGACAUAGUCAAGAAUUCUGCAGUCAUUAACACAGAGAGCAAGACAAGAAAAAACCAAAACAGAACCAGCAUCUUUUACACUUUGAGGCUUUCUCUCCUGGGCUUUGGUAUAAGGAAUGAAGAGAGAGUGCUGAAAACAGAAGGAGAGUGUGUUUCUGCAGUCUCAUCAAGAAAAGCAACAUCAUAUACACAUACAUAUAUAUAUAUAUAUAUACACACUGCCAAAUUUAUUUGAAAGACACCUGUAGUGGUUUUGGUUCACUAAUUUGAGAUUUUUUUGAUUAAUGUACUAAUUAGUGUGGUGGGUUUAGUGUCGGUUAAUUACUAGUGCAUUUACUAGAAUGUAUGGAUUUAUUUUUUGUUGUGAGAGAAUUAGGAGAAAAGUAAAAUAAGCUCAAAAUUUUAAAAGGGUAUAAAGAAAAAUUUAUUAAUAGUAACUAAAAGAAAAAGUAGUAAGAAUCAGAACACAGUUUUUAGGACACUUCUCUUCCCUUUACAACUUUUUUUUUCCUCACUGAUAAUGUAAACAGACAAAACCUAAAAUUUUUUGUUAGUUUGCUACUUCUAGAAUAGUCUUUCUUUAGUUUACUUAGGGAGAAAAGUCCUUCUUAAUAUUAUGGAGACUUCUCUACAAGAAAAUAGUUGUCUCAUGGCUCUUAGUUUCUACAAAUAGCAUCUGUGUGGGGAAAUUUGUAAUCAUGAAAUCUUUUUGGCAAGUUUUUCUCUUAGGUGUGUUUAUGGGCCAUGUCAUCUUGUGGGGUAUUGAUUUAAAGAUUGGUUGUUUAAAAGCAAAAGUUCUUAAUAUCUAUCUCUGAAAUUAUCUGCCUCUAGGAAUAGAGAUCUUUUCUUUCUUUGGAGUAUAGGAUCUUUAUCAUUCAUCUCUUCUUCUGUUCAAACUUCUUAUAGGAUUGUAGCUACUUUAACACUUGGUUUUUGCUCAAUAUCUACAAUUUGAACUCUUCCAUUUCUUCAUACUUUUAAGUGUUAAAGGUGAAAAAGAGUCCUUUUCUACAGUUUUACAAGAGAAUUUUAGCCUAAAACUAAAGGCAUUUCUUUGUCUUUCUUAUUUGGGACUUGACUUCUUCAUCGACUUUGAUGUUUUUAUGUUGUUUCUUUAUGUGUCUGUCAAUUCCCAAAGCCAAGCACUGACUGGAUUCCUAUCAGACACGGAGGAAAUUGCCAGCAGCCUCUCCUAAAACACCACUUCUGUGAUGCAAAACCAGCACAUUACCAGAACCUUCCCUUUGCUGAGACACAACGCUGGCAGCUGGGAGAGCAGUGCCACAGACAGAAAGUGCAUGUUAAGUGUCACACAACCACGUGUCUCAGCUCUAGAAAGUCUAGUCUACACAACACUUAAACACUCUGACAUAUUUGGUUGUCUUUUCUUUAGUCCUUUAGAAAUUGGUGGUUGCCAAGGUCUGAAGGGUUUUCUUCUGACUGACACUCCACAUCCAAGUAUGGAUGAAACAUUUUAUAACUUUCUAGCCCAAUGUAUCAAUAAAGCACACUAACACUCCAACAGUUACUUGGGUUUGGUUAUCUGGUGGUCACAGCAGGGCUGCUUUGAGCCUGGCCUUCACAGUUUUACCAGGUACACCGCUCACAUCACACAGGGUCUUUCUGUCAAAACCAGGUGGUCAGAGGAGUAGCAGUCCUUUAGAAACUGACUGAACAAGAUCAGGGAAAGAAAAUGUCAUGGUACCUCCUCACAAUAAAGGAAGAGCCAAACCUGGGGGUUAAAUGACUCUUCAGGACAGCUCCCAAAUACAAUUACUUAUAUUCUUCCCUCAGACCUCUGUUCUGGCCACUACCAAAAGGACAGUGGACUAGAUUUAUCUUUUGCUUAGCUGGUACAACUACUGUGGCUUUUUAAAGAUGUUUUAAGACCUCAGAUCACUUUUUAAACGACUUAAUGGGGGAGAAGAUGGCUAUUAUCUGAUGUACAUAGGAUAGAUACAGUAGGAAUAAAGGGAGGCAUACAUUUACGAGCUGUCAAUGAUGACAGCACAAAGUCAUAACUUGAUCUUCUAGCAACACAAGGGGUGACUUCACACUUAAAGGGCUUUGCCAUAGAAACACACCCAAAGCCUGCCCCCACCAAAAGGGCUGAAAUAGGCUGAAUUAUCCAGAGGAUAAAGGGUUUAAGUAUACCAUCUGGCUUUUUUUCUGAUUAUGUCUGUAAUUCUGACAGUGUUUAUUAAUGACUUGGAAAGAAAAUAAACUACUGAGGAGGCACGACUGCCACCACUAGCCCAAGCCACCAAGCAGGAGUCCCUCUGCAGACAAGUCUUCAACAUUACUUUUCACAAAGCUUACCCUUGUUUUUGCAGUAUUUCCAGACAUAGAACAAACAGAUCUCAUCACAGUUAACUUUUUUGUUGUCCUUCGAAGCUUCAUCAGAGGAGCUGUCCUUUUUACCUACAGCAAAGAACAUCACAAUCCAUAUUUGCUUUAAGAGAAAGAUCCUGCAUUUGGUACUUCAUCCCAGAAAUAACAAGGAUUUGACUGCAGUAGGAAAGUCAAGCACUUUAAGGAUCUCACUAUCUCCCAUACAGCCCAACACAGAAGUCAGGGCUUCGUGACUGAACAAUAAACCCUAACACUGGAAGGAGUGAGGAAGUCUCAGUGAGGAAGGGCAAGGGCAGUGUCAGGAAGCUCAGAACAACACAGGGUGUGACUGACCAUGGCUCUUGCAAAGAAGCUGACUUUGUCUCCAGACCAAGGGGACCAGAGGGUUCACAGAAGUCAAUGGCAGCUGAGCUGACUGACUGGGAGUAGAAAUGUUUCUCUCAGAGUCAGCCAGACCAGCAUGGGUGUAGUGAACACAGAGCUCAGCCCCACGCAGAGGUAUUAAACCUAAACAACCAACCAAAGAAUUUUGAAAACAGCAAAUGACUUGAGCUGGCUUCUACUUCCCCAGGGACUGGGGACACCCAGUGAGUAUAUAUUGAGGCAGUGAGUAUAUUUACAGAUCUGCAAUGGGAAGCCCAUUAUUGUGAUUAAACUGUGCGCUGUAAUUACUCUGUUUUAAAAGUCAGCAUUUGUAUUUUGUUUACAGUGGACUUUGCAUCACUUUGCUACAUCAGAAAUGCCACUGUACUUGGCAUGGGUAGAAUAAGAUGUAAUUUUCUUCAUAGCAACCCAUAUGAUGCUGUUUUAGAUUUUUGACCAAAACAAUGCUAUUAACACACUCAUGCCCCAGCUUCUGCUGAACAGUGAUAUGCAUCAAGGCCUCAGUUUUUCACCAUGGAUUUCAGCACACAGCAAGGCACACACAUCAGCUGCUCUCAACUACCACUGCGAGCUGUCAGGCUGUGUGAAAUCAAGGCCAAAUGAAAACCACUGGUCUCAAGACUGGAGGGUGAGAAACAAUCCAUACCUUUAUCUUUAUCUCCUGCUCCCUUUGGCAGCUGGUCUUGGCUCUGGGCAGGCACGGUGCUACUGGCACCUGUGUGAGAAAACUCAGUGAGCAGCACUGCAGGGCCACAAGCUCAGCUAGCUGGCAACAUCCCAGUCUCUGUGGAGAACUAUGUCCAUCACACAUGUGAUUUGAUAUGAAACACUACACUGUCCAUGUGUGGAAUAUCUAAAAGAACCUGUGCAGAGAGUACUGGACUCUGACAAGCUUUAAUGCCAAGGUCCUUCUGCCCAGAAGAACAAGAGAAUUACAGGUUGCUAUUCACUCACUGGAAGGUGUAUGGAGACAACAGUUCUACUGACAAAGCCAUAUUCAUUGCCUAGAAACAGUAGGCAGGGAAAGAUACUGCAUGCACAGAUACAAUUCUUUCACUUUCCUAGGAAGGGAAAAAACGUGUCCAGGACAUAGAGAGUGCUGCACAAUGCCUGGGCAGAAAUUCCAACACUGCUCCACUGGCCAUCUGGUACCAUGGAUGUCAGCACACAGCAAGGCACACACAUCAGCUGCUCUCAACUACCACUGCGAGCUGUCAGGCUGUGUGAAAUCAAGGCCCAAUGAAAACCACUGGUCUCAAGACUGGAGGGUGAGAAACAAUCCAUACCUUUAUCUCCCGCUCCCUUUGGCAGCUGGUCUUGGCUCUGGGCAGGCACAGUGCUACUGGCACCUGUGUGAGAAAACUGAAUGAGCAGCACUGCAGGGCCACAAGCUCAGCUAGCUGGCAACAUCCCAGACACUGUGGAGAACUAUGUCCAUCCCACGUGUGAUUUGAUAUGAAACACUACACUGUCCAUGUGUGGAGGAUCUAAAAGAACCUGUGCAGAGAGUACUGGACUCUGACAAGCUCUAAUGACAAGGUCCUUCUGCCCAGAAGAACAAGAGAUUUACAAGUUGCUAUUUACUCACUGGAAGGAAUAUCAAGACAACACCUCUCCUGACAAAGCUGUAUUAAUUCCCUAAAGACAGAAGGCAAGAAAGGAUACUGCAUGCACAGAUACAAUUCUGUCAUCUUGCUAGGAAGGAGAAAGGACAUACAGAGGGUGAGAAACAAUCCAUACCUUUAUCUUUAUCUCCUGCUCCCUUUGGCAACUGGUCUUGGCUCUGGGCAGGCACGGUGCUACUGGCACCUGUGUGAGAAAACUCAGUGAGCAGCACUGCAGGGCCACAAGCUCAGCUAGCUGGCAACAUCCCAGUCUCUGUGGAGAACUAUGUCCAUCACACAUGUGAUUUUCCACUAGCACUCCACUGCUGAUACAACAGAGGUGCAAUUACAGUUACAAACCCUAGCUAGUCACCGUUAUUGCCAGCCACUCAAUUGCUCUUUUGAAUGCAGUACUUCAGGCAAUAAAAGUGCAGUAUUCCCUCCCACA